rnacentral:rRNA from 1 species
GAAAAGAACUUUGAAGAGAGAGUUCAAGAGUACGUGAAACCGUUCAGGGGUAAACCUGAGAAACCCAAAAGAUCGAAUGGGGAGAUUCAUCGACGACCAAGCUGGCUCCCGUUUGCGUGUGAUUUCCACGGUGGGACCACGGUACCCAGAACGUGGGUAACACCCCUUCGGCGAAUAACCGGCGACGUAGUCGUGCACUUCUCCCUUAGUAGAACGUCGCGACCCGUUGUGUGUCGGUCUACGGCCUGGGCUAUUUGCCUGUCGCGGUGGCAUUACGUCGCUCGCGGCAGAGGCUCGGUCGCCCGGCCGGCUGCACGACGGUACUCCGACGGUAUCGGGCCGCAACCAAUCCAUUCUCGAAUGGUAUAUGCGUCCAGGCCCGUCGCAAGCUCGGACAGCACCCGGAGCGUGUGGACGCAGCGCCCUCCCCGGGUCUGGCCAGCUGUUAGCAGACGGUGUCCUCGGACCGGCCAAGCUUCGAAUUACCGGUCAGCGACGCUAUUGCUUUGGGUACUCUCAGGACCCGUCUUGAAACACGGACCAAGGAGUCUAACAUGUGCGCGAGUCAUUGGGACAUUGAAACCUAAAGGCGAAAUGAAAGUGAAAGUCGUCGUAAGCGUCGACCAAGGGAGGAUGGGCCGCGUCACGUCGCGGCCUCGCACUCCCGGGGCGUCUCGUUCUCGUUGAGAAGAGGCGCACCCAGAGCGUACACGUU